rnacentral:rRNA from 1 species
GACUCCUACGGGAGGCAGCAGUGGGGAAUUUUGGACAAUGGGGGAAACCCUGAUCCAGCAAUGCCGCGUGUGUGAAGAAGGCCUUCGGGUUGUAAAGCACUUUUGUCCGGAAAGAAAUCCUUUGGGCUAAUACCCCGGGGGGAUGACGGUACCGGAAGAAUAAGCACCGGCUAACUACGUGCCAGCAGCCGCGGUAAUACGUAGGGUGCGAGCGUUAAUCGGAAUUACUGGGCGUAAAGCGUGCGCAGGCGGUUCGCUAAGACCGAUGUGAAAUCCCCGGGCUUAACCUGGGAACUGCAUUGGUGACUGGCGGGCUAGAGUAUGGCAGAGGGGGGUAGAAUUCCACGUGUAGCAGUGAAAUGCGUAGAGAUGUGGAGGAAUACCGAUGGCGAAGGCAGCCCCCUGGGCCAAUACUGACGCUCAUGCACGAAAGCGUGGGGAGCAAACAGGAUUAGAUACCCUGGUAGUCCACGCCCUAAACGAUGUCAACUAGUUGUUGGGGAUUCAUUUCCUUAGUAACGUAGCUAACGCGUGAAGUUGACCGCCUGGGGAGUACGGUCGCAAGAUUAAAACUCAAAUGAAUUGACGGGGA